rnacentral:rRNA from 2 species
CAGUGGGGAAUUUUGGACAAUGGGCGAAAGCCUGAUCCAGCAAUGCCGCGUGAGUGAAGAAGGCCUUCGGGUUGUAAAGCUCUUUUGUCAGGGAAGAAACGGUGAGAGCUAAUAUCUCUUGCUAAUGACGGUACCUGAAGAAUAAGCACCGGCUAACUACGUGCCAGCAGCCGCGGUAAUACGUAGGGUGCAAGCGUUAAUCGGAAUUACUGGGCGUAAAGCGUGCGCAGGCGGUUUUGUAAGUCUGAUGUGAAAUCCCCGGGCUCAACCUGGGAAUUGCAUUGGAGACUGCAAGGCUAGAAUCUGGCAGAGGGGGGUAGAAUUCCACGUGUAGCAGUGAAAUGCGUAGAUAUGUGGAGGAACACCGAUGGCGAAGGCAGCCCCCUGGGUCAAGAUUGACGCUCAUGCACGAAAGCGUGGGGAGCAAACAGGAUUAGAUACCCUGGUAGUCCACGCCCUAAACGAUGUCUACUAGUUGUCGGGUCUUAAUUGACUUGGUAACGCAGCUAACGCGUGAAGUAGACCGC